rnacentral:lncRNA from 1 species
CUUGAGUGAGUUCCCGGAAGAUAUUAGGUGGGAGUUUCGCACCAGUAAUAGGUACUCUGGAGUGAGUUGGGAUCCUACUGGAGGUACGUCUCCUACGCCAUAUUCAACAGGAGGGUGAUUGAACUUCCAUAGCUUUAGAAGAAGAGCAAAAGCAUUUGAAAACACAGCGUGGGCUGAUAUUUCUUCUCCUGUGGUCAGGGUCCAUGAGAUAUUCGGCACGCAUGAACCGAAAACCUCACAUAUUGUCAUUAAUGAACCAGCAAGCUCUGGAACCUGUUGAAGAUAAUGUCUCCAUUAGAUGAAGGUGAAUCGCUUUUUCGCACUCCCUCAUAAACAUUUCAUGGAUCGUAGAACUAUAUUUGAAGCAUUUCUUGAUCUUACAUGUUCUUUUAUUUCGAUUGUAAAUAAAUCAGGGCUCAUCGCAAAAUAGAACCUACAUAUAAUGUUGAUAAAUAUAGCGUAAAAGUGAACAUACCAAACCAUGGAGGGAGAAAAUCUGAACACAGUCAACUGGUGCUAUUCCCACAAGGAGAACAUUGAGCAUGGGCGCAUAGCUUAUCAAGUGACUCUCAUUCUCGGAAUAGUCGGCCGGAACGGGUGGAGACAACAAUCUAGUUAUGAAAUAAACAGUGUGUUCCUGCAUAUAUAUCAAAAGCUAUACACCGUUAAAAACCUUGUCGACGUAGUUUGGAGAAAACAAAGUACCAGCACUUAAUGUCUCACUACCUGAAUAUUCCAUCCACGAAUCAAUGAGGCCCCACAAAGAAUAGUAGCCCCGGCUAUUCUUUCAUCAUUUGAUCCUUUGCAUGCAAUCUCAAAGACCUUUUCGAUCUCUGCAAAGCUUCCAUUAGAUGCAUGAGCUCGAAUUCAGUUGCUUUACUCUCGAAAAAAAAUCAUUAAGCAGUGCUUACAGAAAUAAAAAUGAAAAAUCAUUUAACUGCAAGACUGACUUCAAUUCUAAACAAUCUAUUUCUUUAAACGUUUUAAAUUUCUGUGCUUACCUUGACGCAGGAGUAGAGACUAAAGCAUUGAUCAUUACUGGAGUUAGAGAUGCUCCUUUCAGAAAUGAUGACCAGCCAGGAACUUCAGUAGGAACAUUGUGGGGUAGUUGGUUAAUAUGCCCAUUUACGUAACCUGGCCAGAGAUAAGCAGAAGAAUCCAGAAGAUUCCUGGCUAUACAUGACUCGACUAUUAAAUGAUGCAAGGUACCAGCUGCAAAAUAAUAAAAAUCGGAUUUCAGAUUCCAUUUUUGCUGAACUAUUUUAUCCCGCAAAUAUCUUCACCAAACUAUCAACAUCGUAUUACUUACAGCAGUCAAUUGGCAUAUCCAUGGUGCUGAUGGAAUCAAAAUACGCAGUACCAACAGUGAUGCCAGAUAUAAACAUCAUUGCUUUACUUGCAGCUUGAUUAGCAGCAGAAAUGACUGACUGCGGUGGAGUUAGCAAGCUUUGAUAUUCAUGUAGAUUCUGAAGACUGAAUAUCAAAUCCAUACGCCUUUUCCC